GACGAACGCUGGCGGCGUGCCUAAUACAUGCAAGUCGAACGCUUCUUUCCUCCCGAGUGCUUGCACUCAAUUGGAAAGAGGAGUGGCGGACGGGUGAGUAACACGUGGGUAACCUACCCAUCAGAGGGGGAUAACACUUGGAAACAGGUGCUAAUACCGCAUAACAGUUUAUGCCGCAUGGCAUAAGAGUGAAAGGCGCUUUCGGGUGUCGCUGAUGGAUGGACCCGCGGUUCAUUAGCUAGUUGGUGAGGUAACGGCUCACCAAGGCCACGAUGCAUAGCCGACCUGAGAGGGUGAUCGGCCACCCUGGGACUGGGACACGGCCCAGACUCCUACGGGAGGCAGCAGUAGGGAAUCUUCGGCAAUGGACGAAAGUCUGACCGAGCAACGCCGCGUGAGUGAAGAAGGUGUUCGGAUCGUAAAACUCUGUUGUUAGAGAAGAACAAGGACGUUAGUAACUGAACGUCCCCUGACGGUAUCCAACCAGAAAGCCACGGCUAACUACGUG
rnacentral:rRNA from 1 species